CAGAUGUUGUUCUGUUGAAGUUGUCUGUCCGGAAGGGAACAUGGCUUGAAGGCUGCACGCUCCCUCUGCGGACUGUAGUCCUUCUUUUGUACUCUUGGGUCAAGGAACUGACUACAGUGCAUUAUUGUGUACAAGAACUGGGGAUGAGCCACGCUUCAGCUGUGGAUUACAACAAUUAUGUGCGAGAAAU